rnacentral:rRNA from 1 species
UACGGAGGAUGCGAGCGUUAUCCGGAUUUAUUGGGUUUAAAGGGUGCGCAGGCGGAGGUGCAAGUCAGCGGUCAAAUUGCGGGGCUCAACCCCGUACUGCCGUUGAAACUGCAUCCCUUGAGUGCGCGAGAAGUAUGCGGAAUGCGUGGUGUAGCGGUGAAAUGCAUAGAUAUCACGCAGAACUCCGAUUGCGAAGGCAGCAUACCGGCGCGCAACUGACGCUCAUGCACGAAAGCGUGGGUACCGAACAGG